rnacentral:rRNA from 1 species
UACGUAGGGUGCAAGCGUUAAUCGGAAUUACUGGGCGUAAAGCGUGCGCAGGCGGUUAUGCAAGACAGAGGUGAAAUCCCCGGGCUCAACCUGGGAACUGCCUUUGUGACUGCAUAGCUAGAGUGCGGCAGAGGGACACGGAAUUCCGGGUGGAGUGGUGAAAUGCGUAGAGAUCCGGAGGAACACCGAAGGCGAAGGCAGUGUCCUGGCGCGUAACUGACGCUGAGGUGCGAAAGCCAGGGGAGCGAACGGG